GACGAACGCUGGCGGCGUGCUUAACACAUGCAAGUCGAACGGUAAGGCCCUUCGGGGUACACGAGUGGCGAACGGGUGAGUAACACGUGGGUGAUCUGCCCUGCACUUCGGGAUAAGCCUGGGAAACUGGGUCUAAUACCGGAUAGGACCACUGCCUGCAUGGGUGGUGGUGGAAAGCUUUUGCGGUGUGGGAUGGGCCCGCGGCCUAUCAGCUUGUUGGUGGGGGGAUGGCCUACCAAGGCGACGACGGGUAGCCGGCCUGAGAGGGGGACCGGCCACACUGGGACUGCGAUACGGCCCAGACUCCUACGGGAGGCAGCAGUGGGGAAUAUUGCACAAUGGGCGCAAGCCUGGUGCAGCGACGCCGCGUGAGGGAUGACGGCCUUCGGGUUGUAAACCUCUUUCAGCACCGACGAAGCGCAAGUGACGGUAGGUGCAGAAGAAGGACCGGCCAACUACGUGCCAGCCGCCGCCGUAA
rnacentral:rRNA from 1 species